GACGAACGCUGGCGGCGUGCUUAACACAUGCAAGUCGAACGGAAAGGCCUGCUUUCCCUUGUGGAUUGCGGGUGCUCGAGUGGCGAACGGGUGAGUAACACGUGAGUGAUCUGCCCCCAACUUGGGUAUAAGCCUGGGAAACUGGGUCUAAUUCCCGAUAGGACUGCAGGGUGGUGCCUGUGGUGGAAAACGAUUUUCUAGUGGUUGGGGAUGAGCUCGCGGCCUAUCAGCUUGUUGGUGGGGUAAUGGCCUACCAAGGCGGCGACGGGUAGCCGGCCUGAGAGGGUGGACGGCCACAUUGGGACUGAGAUACGGCCCAGACUCCUACGGGAGGCAGCAGUGGGGAAUAUUGCACAAUGGGCGGAAGCCUGAUGCAGCGACGCUGCGUGGGGGAUGACGGCCUUCGGGUUGUAAACUCCUUUCGACCGCGAGGAAGCCACCUGGUUGGAAGGGUGGUGACGGUAGUGGUAGAAGAAGCACCGGCUAACUACGUG
rnacentral:rRNA from 1 species